rnacentral:rRNA from 1 species
AAUCAACGCUGGCGGCGUGCCUAACACAUGCAAGUCGAGCGAGAAAGGGCUUCGGCCCUGAGUAAAGCGGCGCACGGGUGAGUAACACGUGGGUAAUCUGCCCUAGAGUGGGGAAUAACAUCGGGAAACCGAUGCUAAUACCGCAUACGAUCACGAGGUCUUCGGAUUUUGUGAUGAAAGGAGAAAUCCGCUCUUGGAGGAGCCCGCGGCUGAUUAGCUAGUUGGUAAGGAACGGCUUACCAAGGCAACGAUCAGUAUCCGGUCUGAGAGGACGGUCGGACACACUGGAACUGAGACACGGUCCAGACUCCUACGGGAGGCAGCAGUGGGGAAUCUUGCGCAAUGGGCGGAAGCCUGACGCAGCAACGCCGCGUGA